rnacentral:ncRNA from 2 species
GCAUCGUUCCGCGACUGGCGCUGACGAUGGAAACCCAUCAGGGAGCGGGACUUCGCCGACCGGCGAACGAGCCGCGCGCCUGGGCGUCCCUU